rnacentral:rRNA from 1 species
UACGUAGGGUGCAAGCGUUAAUCGGAAUUACUGGGCGUAAAGCGUGCGCAGGCGGUUGUGCAAGACAGGUGUGAAAUCCCCGGGCUUAACCUGGGAACUGCAUUUGUGACUGCACGGCUAGAGUGUGUCAGAGGGGGGUAGAAUUCCACGUGUAGCAGUGAAAUGCGUAGAGAUGUGGAGGAACACCGAUGGCGAAGGCAGCCCCCUGGGUCAAGAUUGACGCUCAUGCACGAAAGCGUGGGGAGCAAACAGG